rnacentral:tRNA from 1 species
AGGGAGACCUACCUUGGGGCAUCUGAGGGGAGUUAGACCACCCUCAGGCCAGCAAAGGUUAUCCCAGGUCGGUCGGGGUUGAAGGGAUGGUUGACUGGGGUUCUGGAGGGGAACCGAGGGGAGGGCUAUUAGCUCAGGUGGUUAGAGCGCACCCCUGAUAAGGGUGAGGUCCCUGGUUCGAGUCCAGGAUGGCCCACUGUUUGUCCUGGAGAAGGGAGAGCUAGCAAGCUAAAAGCGAGCUGGCCAAGCUGAGGGCAAAGCCAGAGGGUGGGUGCAGUCUGGAUUGGGGGUAUAGCUCAGCUGGUAGAGCGCUGCCUUUGCACGGCAGAAGUCAGCGGUUCGAGUCCGCUUACCUCCACCACC